CAGUCGCCACGGUAAUACGUAGGGGGCAAGCGUUGUUCGGAUUUAUUGGGCGUAAAGGGUGCGUAGGCGGUUUGGCAAGUCUUGUGUGAAAUCUUCGGGCUCAACCCGAAGCCUGCACGAGAAACUACCGGGCUUGAGUAUUGGAGGGGUGAGUGGAAUUUCCGGUGUAGCGGUGAAAUGCGUAGAUAUCGGAAGGAACACCUGUGGCGAAAGCGGCUCACUGGACGAUAACUGACGCUGGUGCACGAAAGCUAGGGGAGCAAACAGGAUUAGAUACCCCCGUAGUCCCUGUCUCUUAUAC
rnacentral:rRNA from 1 species